rnacentral:rRNA from 1 species
GACGAACGCUGGCGGCGUGCCUAAUACAUGCAAGUCGAGCGGACCGACGGGAGCUUGCUCCCUUAGGUCAGCGGCGGACGGGUGAGUAACACGUGGGUAACCCGCCUGUAAGACUGGGAUAACUCCGGGAAACCGGGGCUAAUACCGGAUGCUUGAUUGAACCGCAUGGUUCAAUCAUAAAAGGUGGCUUUCAGCUACCACUUACAGAUGGACCCGCGGCGCAUUAGCUAGUUGGUGAGGUAACGGCUCACCAAGGCGACGAUGCGUAGCCGACCUGAGAGGGUGAUCGGCCACACUGGGACUGAGACACGGCCCAGACUCCUACGGGAGGCAGCAGUAGGGAAUCUUCCGCAAUGGACGAAAGUCUGACGGAGCAACGCCGCGUGAGUGAUGAAGGUUUUCGGAUCGUAAAACUCUGUUGUUAGGGAAGAACAAGUACCGUUCGAAUAGGGCGGCACCUUGACGGUACCUAACCAGAAAGCCACGGCUAACUACGUGCCAGCAGCCGCGGUAAUACGUAGGUGGCAAGCGUUGUCCGGAAUUAUUGGGCGUAAAGCGCGCGCAGGCGGUUUCUUAAGUCUGAUGUGAAAGCCCCCGGCUCAACCGGGGAGGGUCAUUGGAAACUGGGGAACUUGAGUGCAGAAGAGGAGAGUGGAAUUCCACGUGUAGCGGUGAAAUGCGUAGAGAUGUGGAGGAACACCAGUGGCGAAGGCGACUCUCUGGUCUGUAACUGACGCUGAGGCGC